rnacentral:lncRNA from 1 species
CAUUUUCCAUUUUCCAUUUUCAUACAGUAGUGUUGUUUUUUUUUUUUUUGACCUUUUCCUCUCUCACUACCUUCCCAAGCAGGAAACGUACCUGCAGUACUCUAUGUGCAAGUGGGGCGGCUUGGGGGUAUAGCAACUUGCAGCUUAAUGGCAGACGUCUGAUAAGCCAAGGGACAUUGAAGUGCUUGUGUCUGCUGCAAAAAAUCAUCAAUAUUUUCAUUUUAGUGCCCAACUUUUUUCUAUCUUUAUCUUUUUCUUUCUUUCAUUCUGUCUCGAAUUACGUGCCUGUUUAUGCGCGUGCAUGUCAUGGAAGAGCCCCCCUAGUCCCCUACUGUCCUUCACUUCCCUGGGUAAUGAUACUCUUCCCACUAUAAAUUCAGAAUGAUACUGUAGCAGUAGUUUUCAUCUUUUUCCCCAAACAUUAAACAGCAACCUGCAGCUAGCUUCAGGAAACCUCCAUGUAUUCUUAC